rnacentral:lncRNA from 1 species
AUUAUGAGAUGUUUCUACAUAAUACGAUACUUUGCACAUGUGAAUUCGUGCAAAUUCAUCAUGUUUUGAUGAUAUUGUUCUUAUAUAAAUAAAAGGAUCAGCUUAUACAACAACCUCUCACAAAUAUUCGAGCACAUCGUUUAGCAGAAACAUGAAGGUUAUUAUUAUAUGCCUCCUAUUGAUAAGCACAUGUGGUGUGCUUUCUCAAUCUUUGUCGAGCUUUCUACCAAACUCGAUGUUUAAACGAUGCAAUAAAUGCAGGAUGUGUGGCUAUGGGUUUAGAUUUUGCGGAUUAUGUCAAAACAGCACAUUUGGCAGCUGUUCGUAUUGUAAGAAAAUGAAGCACUGCAGAAAAACAUGUGUCACCCUUUGCGGUUACAAAUGGAAUUAUGGUGGAUGAACUUCUUGAGGAAAAGUAAUUAAUUCAAUCAGAAGAACAGUUCAUAUCAUUAACAUGUAAACAGCAAUGUGAAAUAUCUAUGCCAUAUUAGGACUAUUUUCAACAAUUGUAAGACAUUAUCAUUUAGAGCUUUGUUAACAUUGCAUUUAGCAACCACAUGUUUUUGUAACGUAUACGAAUUUAUAUUUUGAAAAUAUGUUUGUGAUUUAUGAUUUAGAAAUUUUAAAAGGAAAAUAAGAUAAUAAAAAAAA